GCCCGCGUGGCCUAAUGGCUAAGGCGUCUGACUGUAAGAUUUCUCCACCCUCAAAGUCACCUUUCCGAAAACUAAUAUCCCCUCCGUCUACCUAAAAUUUCACAAGAAAUUCAGAAGUGAAUCAGAAGAUCGGGAGUUCGAACCUCCCCGUGGGCU
rfam:Fusarium fujikuroi IMI 58289 draft genome, chromosome FFTJ_chr05